rnacentral:tRNA from 1 species
GGAGGCGUAGCUCAGUUGGUCAGAGCGCAUGCUUCACAUGCAUGAGGUCGCGGGUUCGAGCCCCUCCGUCUCCACCA